rnacentral:lncRNA from 1 species
AGGAACAGAGACUUUAGGUGCUUCAAGCAAGAGGGGAGUGUAACCAAGGACUGCCACUUCACUCUCCUUCAUAUGCUUAGCCGAACUUAGGAAAGGAACUGCAGGGAUGGAAAUGAAGAGGAGCCUGAGGAAAUGAAGGUCCAAGGACAGGCCCAAAGUAGGAUCCAGCUCAAGGGGAGGCCCCAAGGCCUGACACUAUUACUGAGGCUAUGGAGCGUUCACAAAAAGGGACCCUGUCAUGGCCACACUCCAGAAGACCCAACAAGAAGCUGAAAGAGACUGGGCAUUCUAUUGGGCUCAGUGUCUCCAUCUUCUGAUGAAACCAGGAUCACAUUAUUCUUAAGAAUAUGAUAGAGGGCAAGCUUAAGCGGAAUCAGACAAGUACAUUUUAGAUCCCCACCCCCACCCCUUAUUGUGAUUUGCUUCCGGAACCAAGAUGGUACAAAGUCAAGAAACAGAUGUAAAGGCUGCCCAAGAGUGUCCUAAACACAUGAGCAUUUGGUUAUAGAAAUGCUGAAUGAGAAAAUGAGAAGGGAAACUAGAAAUGCUGGAGUGGUCCUGAGGAGACAGGCAAGCCUGGCUCCAAUAGAAAGGGAGAGAGGGAAAACUAGCUGAGAGCAUCCUGGGAGAUUCUGCAAUCAACUGCAAUUGAACUGUGAUCUAAAGCUGCAAUGCCAAGCCCAGCAAGGAGUCUUCAAGCCAAAGGACCUAUGUCACUUCUUGUUGGAGAUCAUUGGCUGAGAUUUGCUUGUUCAUAGGAAGCAUUGUCUCAGAAUAGAUGCACCAAUUAAUUUAAUUUAAUUUAAUUUUUUGGGUUUUUCCCCAUUUUUUAUUGGAUAUUUUUUAAUUUACAUUUCAAAUAUUAUCCCCUCUCCUAGUUUCCCCUCCCCAACCCCUUAUCCCUUCCCCCUACCCCUGCUCACCAGCCUAUCCACUCCCGCUUCCUGGCCCUAGCAUUAAGGGCCUCUCCUCCCAUUGAAGACCAACUAUGCCACCCUCUGCUACAUAUGCAGCUAGAGCCAUGAGUCCCACCAUGUGUUUUCUUUGGUUGGUGGUUUAGUCCCAGGUAGCUCUGGAGAUACUGGUUAGUUCAUAUUGUUGUUCCUCCCAUUCAUUUUAAACUGCAGUAACCAGGGCCAGAGGUUUGUGGUAGAUUAUGUUUCAAGGACAUUGGCUAUUCAUGGGUUGGAUUCUCAAGGAUGCCAUACAGGUUCAGGUCAGACUGUAAAGGUAGGUCUGCCUCUAUAAUGAGAGAAACAGAAGGUACAGGAAAGGGCAAACAUUGUGACAUUCAGUGCAUUAAGUCUAGGAGAAGAAAGGAAGAAAACACAGAGUGAGGCAAGAAAGAGAAUCAGCCAAGGAAGAGUGGAUGGCCAAAGUAGUUGCCAUUGUGACAGCCUGGUGCUUCAUUUACUCCAAAUGCUCUAGAAGACCAUUAUAGAGGAACACAGCCAAAGGGCAAGGUUGACAGCAGGGUUCUCUGCUUUCACAUGGCACAGCUCCCAGUGUUUGGAAACAGAGCCUUUCCUAUUCCAGGCCAGGAUCUCGUCUGGCCUGCAGUUAGAGGCAUCAUACUCAGCUCACACCCUCCGGUGUGUCAAUGACCUUGAAAUACAAUGCAGAGAACGUAAGAGAUUCUUCUUGACAGUGACCAUCCUCGAUCCAGAAAGCAUACUUGGAGAAUACCAAGUCCGGGUCUUUUCAUCAACUCGAGGUCAACUCAAUUUCCAUAUCAUCUGGUAAGGUGUCUUAGGGUAUCCAGGACUUGGUGUUGUGGGACAACUGGGUUCUGAUGAUGCCAAAUAGCCUUGGCUUCUGUUGCACCUGGCUUCCACUGGUAUAUAGGACCAAUGUGGAAACUCUUUGAGCUCAGUUCAGAGGUCUGAGUGUGACAUUUCAGCUUGCUUGGAGGACAAGGAAUAAGAGACACUGAGUUACAGUUUUAUACGCCUGUACUACAGGUCAAAGACUGAACAACAGGUGUCCUGGAAGCACAACAUCUACAGUGACAUUUAUUAAGACUUGAUGCCCCUAAGAAGUCAAGGUCUCCACUGCGAAGGAACUGUUCAUAUGGUGACUUGUUUUUCUUCCACAAGACAGAUCCUCUUUGUGUAAUACUACUAAGAAAGCCUUCCACUGCACAGUGGCUUGUCUAGGAAGAUUCAAAAGCUUUGAUUUUGUCCAAACAAUUGAUGUUUUAUAUUUAAAAAAUAAAAUUUCUGGAAUUCAGGAUGCUGUAUAGUGUGACAAAGGCCUUUAACCCCAAUGCAUGAAAGACUAAGUUUAGAAAAGUAAAAGUUCAAAGCCA